AUUGAACGCUGGCGGCAUGCCUUACACAUGCAAGUCGAACGGUAACAGGUCUUCGGAUGCUGACGAGUGGCGAACGGGUGAGUAAUACAUCGGAACGUGCCUAGUAGUGGGGGAUAACUACUCGAAAGAGUGGCUAAUACCGCAUGAGAUCUACGGAUGAAAGCAGGGGAUCGCAAGACCUUGUGCUACUAGAGCGGCCGAUGGCAGAUUAGGUAGUUGGUGGGAUAAAAGCUUACCAAGCCGACGAUCUGUAGCUGGUCUGAGAGGACGAUCAGCCACACUGUGACUGGGACACGGCCCAGACUCCUACGGGAGGCAGCAGUGGGGAAUUUUGGACAAUGAGCGCAAGCCUGAUCCAGCAAUGCCGCGUACAGGAUGAAGGCCUUCGGGUUGUAAACUGCUUUUGUACGGAACGAAAAGCCCUGGGUUAAUACCCUGGGGUCAUGACGGUACCGUAAGAAUAAGCACCGGCUAACUACGUGCCAGCCGCCGCCGUAAGAC
rnacentral:rRNA from 1 species